GGCGUGGUAGCUCAGCCGGUUAGAGCGUGCGACUCAUAAUCGCAAGGUCGAGAGUUCGAGUCUCUCCCACGCCA
rnacentral:tRNA from 1 species